UCUAAUGGCCACACCACCCUGAACCGGCCCAAUCUCAUCUGAUCUCAGAAGCUAAGCAGGGUCGGAUCUGGUUAGUACUUGGGUGGGAGACAAAUUUCAAGCCAUCCUGGGGAACUUAGCAAGAC
rfam:Fukomys damarensis contig93750, whole genome shotgun sequence.